CAUAUAUAAAGAUUGCAAGGACCUCUAUAAUAAUAUUAAUACAGAAUCUGGUGUGUAUGAGAUCUAUCCAUUUGGUAAUAACAGCAAGGUCAGCGUCUUCUGUGACAUGGUGACAGAAGGGGGAGGGUGGACAGUUAUCCAGAAACGUGUGAGUGGUUCAGUGAGAUUCAACUGAACGUUGGCGGAAUAUAAGGAUGGAUUUGGUAUUACUAACGGAUCCUACUGGAUCGGGAAUGACGUGAUACAUCAACUUACCAAGGGAGGGAACUCCUCCCUCUACGUCUCCAUCACACUGACCAAUGGGACAAAGCUCUAUGAAUUAUACAACCAGUUCUCUGUUGCUGACGAAAUCAACAAAUACAUACUUUUUCUUGGCGGACCAGCUGCCGGGGCACUGGGAGACUCUAUGUUACACACUGGUAAUUAUGACUUCGAUCUGUCUGGGAUGUCAUUCAGUACCCCGGACAGAGAUAACGACGGGUCUAGAGGUGGUAACUGUGCUGCUGCCAGUAACCAUAGAGGAGGCUGGUGGUUCAAUGCCUGUCACCGAGCCUUCCUUAACGGUCCAUGGUCCCCGGAGUUCUGGAACUACCCAUGGUAUCCUACAGUGACUGAUGGUAACAAGAUAAAAGAAACCCUCAUGAUGAUCAAACAUAACUGACUUUUUACAUCUUUAUAGCCAUACUUGUUCACGCAUGAUAUGAAAAGUUAUAUACUUUUAUUAUAGAUGAUAAAAACUUUAUUUUUAGACAUAAUAGUGGUCUCUACAGUAUAUACAAUGUAAUGAAUAUAUAAUGUUAUUAUGCGUAAUGAAUUUAUUGAAAAGUCCUUAUGUGUAUUAUGUUUAAGUUAGUGUUGUACAUGUAACAUUCAUUACUAAAAACAAGAAAAUCGCAUUUAGUAUUGUUACAUAAUAAAAGUUUUGUUUUUAUUUUAUCAAUUGUAGUUUUAUAAUUAAUAGUCUAAUGAUAUAAAGUAUGUUAACAACAAAGACAAUGUUUUUUUUUAAAUACAUUCCUUGAAUUUCAACUGAUCCCCGUGAAAGGUCACAUAACUGGGUAGAAGUAGUAUCCAUCAGUCUAUCAUCUCUGUACAUGUGUGUUGAUAAUUAGAAUUUCAUUCUGUUACAGUUUAUAAAUGAUGUAGAGAUUAUAAUUACGUAAAUUUUAUUUUCAAACACCAAUAUUUCUCGUUACUUGUACUGUAUUCUGUAUAAACACCAAUAUUACUCGUUACUUGUUCGUGUAUUUUAUAUAUACAGUGUGUGGAAAUGGCUGCAUGUAAUGCCAAACCAAUGAAUGGGAAAACAAA